CGCGGCCUAUCAGCUUGUUGGCGAGGUAACGGCUCACCAAGGCAUCGACGGGUAGCUGGUCUGAGAGGACGAUCAGCCACACUGGGACUGAGACACGGCCCAGACUCCUACGGGAGGCAGCAGUAGGGAAUCUUGCGCAAUGGGCGAAAGCCUGACGCAGCAACGCCGCGUGGGGGAUGAAUGCCUUCGGGUUGUAAACCCCUUUCAGCAGGGACGAAAAUGACGGUACCUGCAGAAGAAGCUCCGGCCAACUACGUGCCAGCAGCCGCGGUAAUACGUAGGGAGCGAGCGUUGUCCGGAAUUAUUGGGCGUAAAGAGCUCGUAGGCGGUUCAGUAAGUCGGGUGUGAAAACUCAAGGCUCAACCUUGAGACGCCACUCGAUACUGCUGUGACUUGAGUCCGGUAGAGGAGUGUGGAAUUCCUGGUGUAGCGGUGAAAUGCGCAGAUAUCAGGAGGAACACCAGCGGCGAAGGCGGCACUCUGGGCCGGUACUGACGCUGAGGAGCGAAAGCAUGGGGAGCAAACAGGAUUAGAUACCCUGGUAGUCCAUGCCGUAAACGUUGGGCACUAGGUAUGGGAUCAUAUCAACGGAUUCCGUGCCGUAGCUAACGCAUUAAGUGCCCCGCCUGGGGAGUACGG
rnacentral:rRNA from 1 species